rnacentral:misc_RNA from 1 species
AAAUCUAACCUUCGAGAUGCAGGGAGAGAGAACUUUUUCAGUGUUUUUGAAAAAAAAAUGGAUGAAAAGCGUGAUCGUUUAAGAGAAAGUGGUCGUGAGCUUGCUGUCUCUUGGGCUCUCUGUGCUGUAUGCCUCUUUGGCCAUCUUUCUCAUAUUUUUGCUUUCAAGGCGAAAUGGAUCCACAUGUUUCAUUCCACAGGAUUCCAUCUGUCCUUGUCUUUGUUUACAUUGCUUGGCCCUGGGCGUCAGCUUAUCCUUGAUGGUGUGAAAAGCCUUUUUAAGGGGGCUCCAAAUAUGAAUACUUUAGUUGGUCUUGGGGCUUUAUCUUCAUUUGCUGUUAGUUCAUUAGCUGCCUUAAUACCAGGGCUGGGUUGGAAGGCCUUCUUUGAGGAGCCAAUCAUGUUAAUAGCUUUCGUCUUGCUGGGAAGGAAUCUUGAGCAAAGAGCUAAAAUUAAAGCAACCAGUGACAUGACAGGACUUCUAAGUAUUUUACCUUCGAAAGCUCGUCUUCUGGUUCAUGGUGAUGCAAGAGAUCCUGGCUCAAUUGUUGAAGUUCCUUGUGCCAGUCUUUCUGUUGGAGAUCAAAUUGUUGUAUUACCUGGAGAUCGUGUUCCAGCUGAUGGAAUAGUUAGAGCUGGUCGAAGCACUAUUGAUGAGUCGAGUUUCACAGGGGAGCCAUUACCAGUGACUAAACUACCUGGGAGUCAAGUAGCAGCUGGAAGUAUAAACCUCAAUGGGACUCUAACAGUUGAAGUGCGAAGACCAGGUGGUGAGACUGCCGUAGGAGACAUUGUUCGUUUGGUUGAAGAAGCACAGAGCAGAGAGGCUCCAGUACAGCGGUUGGCUGACAAGGUGUCUGGGCAUUUUACUUAUGGAGUAAUGGCACUCUCAGCUGCUACGUUUAUGUUCUGGAACUUGUUUGGGACACGUGUGCUCCCUGCUGCAUUUCACCAUGGAAAUCCAGUGUCACUAGCUCUACAGCUCUCUUGCAGUGUUUUGGUUAUUGCUUGUCCAUGUGCACUUGGUUUAGCCACACCUACUGCUGUGCUGGUUGGAACCUCACUGGGUGCAACGAGAGGAUUACUUUUGCGUGGUGGAAAUGUUUUAGAGAAGUUUUCAAUGGUGAAGACCAUUGUGUUUGACAAAACAGGGACCUUGACAAUUGGCAGACCUGUUGUAACAAAGGUUGUUACUCUUGGAGGUGUGAAAAUUACAGAUAUACAACAAAAUUUAAAUCUUACAUGGUCAGAAGUUGAAGUUCUGAAGCUAGCUGCUGGUGUAGAAUCAAAUACUAUUCAUCCUGUUGGAAAAGCUAUAGUAGAAGCUGCUCAGUCUGCUGGUUGUCAGAAUGUGAAGGUGAAAGAUGGAACAUUCAUGGAGGAACCUGGGUUUGGUGCUAUAGCUAUUAUUGAGAACAAGAAGGUGUCUGUUGGAACAUUGGAUUGGGUUCAAAGGAAUGGAGCUUAUAAGAAUCCUUUUCAAGAAGUGGAGGAUCUUAAGAAUCAAUCAGUUGUCUAUGUUGGAGUCGAUAACACCAUUGCUGGUCUUAUAUACUUGGAAGAUCAGAUUAGAGAAGAUGCUAGAAAUGUUGUUGAAUCUUUGUCCAGGCAAGGAAUUAAUGUCUACAUGCUGUCUGGUGACAAAAAGAAUACUGCUGAAUAUGUUGCAUCCAUUGUUGGUAUUCCAAAGGAGAAGGUGACAGCUAGAGUUAAACCCGAUGAAAAGAAGAAGUUUAUUACUGAACUUCAGAAGGAUCAGAACAUAGUAGCCAUGGUUGGUGAUGGAAUCAAUGAUGCUGCUGCCUUGGCAUCAUCACACAUUGGAGUUGCUAUGGGUGGAGGUGUUGGAGCUGCUGGUGAGGUGUCUUCCAUUGUACUGACUGGCAAUAGGUUGUCACAGUUGCUUGAUGCAUUGGAACUAAGCAGGCUAACCAUGAAGACUGUGAAGCAAAAUCUCUGGUGGGCUUUUGCGUACAACAUUGUAAGUUUUGUACAUUAUACAAUUAUAGCUCAUAUAUUUCAGUACCAAAAGCCCCUUAAAUUAGCAUUAAGUUGAAAAGAAAUCCAACGUGGCAUUUCCCAGGUUAUGUUUAUUUGUAAGUUCAAUCGGAUGUUCAGGAAAGAAAAAGGGGGAAAAUUUUGGAUUUUGCAAGCUGAUAUCACCAAUCACAAGAGAGUAGGAUUCUGUUAUUAAUACAUUGUCCAUUUGUUACCCAAGGCUGCCUUAUUUAUUAGUACAAGCUGAAUGGAUUAAAUUCCGAAAACCAUUGCAUUUUAUGUUACUGAAAAAAUGGAGCAUAACUUGUACAAGUUUGAAGUUUCUAUUUCUUGAUAGUCACUGUCCACCUAGUGUCCGUGAUAUGUUGCCAAGUAGCUUUUUGCUGUGAAUGAGGUAUUUCAUUAUACUUGUUAAACCUUUUUACCCCCAUCUUUUUUGUCGUUUUGCUAUUUAUUUCCUUUACUUUCCUCCUCCACCCUCCAGAGUCCAGACUCCCUGCAACUUUAUUAUAGGAAAAAAUAUUGUACUGCCGUUUUUCAAUCAAUUUUAAAUUCUGACUCAAAUACGUAUCUGGUGGAGGUAAAUACCACAUUAUUACAUCCUUGUGAAUUAUAUCUAGACCCCAGGCCUGCACCUUUCACAUCAUGCCUUUAUAUACCUGACAGCCGCAGCAUACUGUUAUCAUUUUAAAUGGCUCUGCUUGCUCUGUUUGUCUGAUUUAUGAUUCAUCUCUCUGUCUUCUGCCUCAUGCUAUGAAUGUUCUUGCAAUAGUCUGCCUUGUUAAUUUCAAAAUUUUAACCAUGUCUACAAUUCACAGAGCAAUUCUUGUAAUUAUGAAGUCUUCAUUAUUUGGUGUGGAUUUGACCCAGGAAAGUGUAGUUGUACCUGUUAGAUUGCUAUCCCAAACAAUUCAAUUACCUUAUGGAUUCAUUUUGAGUCAGCUUGCAACCCUUCCGAACAUGCUUAGCAUAGUUUUUUCAAAAGCAAAGAAUUACAGUGGAUUGCCAAUUGAAAAAAAAUGUAUUUGGCUUCCAUUUUACCUUCAAAUAAGUACCUGUUAUCUCUCAAUGGCUGCAAUCAAUUGUUGCCUGCAAACUGGUGCAUCAGUGGAAGUGCCGCCUUGCUUACUAAAGACAUCUGUUUGAGUUUUGCUAACCAACAUCCACAUCCAUUGGUGGCCCAGCAUUAAACAUUGGAUGCCAUUGCCCCAACUCUGCACUCUGCAGGUAACGGAAAACCUUUGUGAACAUAUUCAUGGAGACAUGAUCAAGAUUAACUAUAUUCGUAAGCUGUUUGUUUGCUAACCCAGACUCGGUUCAUGCCAAAGUUGAACAAUUAUUCCAAAACAACGUACUGCCCAUCCCAACUAUACUCUGUUAUAGCCUUGCUUUCGACACCAUCCUCUGACCCAUUCAUGUCCUGUAAAGAUACCAAUUUAAUUUGCUGUUGUUGUCUCAUAAAGAGCUCUGCCAAAGGCAAUCCCCUAAUCUUUUCUUCACUUCUUUUUCAUUUUGUAGGAAAUUAAUGUAUAACUUGAAACAUUUUUUUACUUCAACUAAUAUUGUCUUUAUGCUGCUUGUAUAUCUUUGCAGAUUGGAAUUCCAAUAGCAGCUGGCGUGUUGCUUCCUGUAACUGGGACCAUGCUGACCCCAUCAAUCGCUGGAGCUCUCAUGGGUUUAAGCUCUAUUGGCGUGAUGACAAAUUCAUUGCUUCUGAGAUUGAAAUUCUCCUCAAAGCAGAAACAGGCUUAUGGAACAUCUCCAAGCACCAAGAUUAUUUUAGGGUCUGAUAUUCUCAUGGACCAGAGAGAGAAAAUGAAUCAAUCAUAUUCUGACCCCAAAUGGAGAGAAGCGCGAUAAAAGUAAGCUCACAAAACAUACAUCCUUUUUCUGCAUGCCUCAUAAGAUGGAGAAGUUACAAUAUAACUGAACUCUACUUGCAGACUUUGUGAAGAUUAUAAGGUAUAAGAUUGUCACGUUGCUUCUCUGAAAAUAGAGCUGGAUUUUAAGUACUCGGCUUCAAACAUAUUUUGGAGUUUGAAUUUCUUAGGAUUGAUUUUGUUGCAACUCUUAUCUCCCAGGAAAUUCAUUUCAUCAUACAAUUAUUUUUCCAAUUUCCACCUAAGCUCACAAAUAGCAUUCAGAGAUUUAUUCUACAUUGUCUGUAUGGAGAAGUCCGUCUUAACGUUUUACAUGCGGGGUUCAGUCUUGUGCAGAGAACCAAUGGUUUAUACUAUAGUAAAAUGCAUUGCUUUUCUUUCCAUGAU